GAUAGGACGCAAAUCACGGACUCUCUUAUAUUCCUAAAAUAUUAUUUCUUUCUAAAAAGUUUCGUUUUCAUAUUAUUUAAACCGGCUAUAUUAAAAAAAAAAAAAAACAACUACCACCGUUCCAAGGCGUUAUUUUGUAGUAGAGUAACACACAACGCAAAUCGCUACGCACAUACCAAGUCAAUACACUUUACACCAGGUUACAAGUGAAAUCCUGCAUUUCUACUACCUCUUUUGUCAACUCAUCAGUUUAACAUUUGUCUCACGGUAAAAAUGGAAUUAAACAACGACAAACUGGCGGAAGAUGUUGUAAUAGAUGAAAAUUUCAAUCCAGAUGAAAUAUUACAUGUAUUUAUGGCUGCGUUCUCUCUAGCAGAAAAAGACAUGAUUAGCAAUUUGUUAUUGGAAGACUUCAAACAAUUUUUCUUACAAACAGGACCAUCGGUAGUUAAUUCAAGUUUAAAUAAAAAAGCACGCUUCGUGUCAUGUUUUGGAUAUACUUCUCGUAUCAACUUUUAUUAUGGAGUUAAAAUGUUUAUUAUAAACCAUUUAAGAAAUG